rnacentral:misc_RNA from 1 species
UUGUGGAGGCUUCUUUUGUAUAAUUGUAGCUAUUGAUGUCCAAACUGCAAAGCUCAGCUUUGAGUCUUGUGGAAAUGUUCUUCUCAUAUCCAGAAAGGAGAGCCUCCUUUACCGACUUCUGUUCUAGUUCCAUGUUCUCUCCUUGUUCAGUCCCAUGUUUAGAAUCAGGGGCAAUGCCUGGAAUUGUUAAUUUCACACAGUAAUUGUCAGAAAAUAUGUAAGCUGUAUUUCUGUUCUUAUACAUAUAUUUGUGUAGUUUGAACUUUUCCCUUGAAGGUUGGUUUUGAUGAGACUAGAAUUUCCUAAAGCAAUCAACUGUUCUUGGAAUCAUUAUUUUUCUUCUUUUCUAGGGGAUGUGUGCAAUGUUGAGGUGGAGUGGGCUUUGGUUUGGUUCAUUUACAAGAGACACAAGUUUAAGCACCAACUUCAGUGGACCAAACUGACAUCCCACAAAUGAAUCAAAUAAGAGGAUGAAUGAGUGCUUGGAUUGUACUAUCUUUAGGACCGUCCUUUAAAAAUUUUCAAUGUACACAAGGGACAAGAAACAGUAGAGAAAUUUUAUGAACCGAAGGAAGCUUCCCCUCCCUCCAUAGAAUUCAUAAAUGUUACUGAACCUUUAUGUGAAAAAUCA